UUAAUUGAAACCAAAAAGAGGUAUAUCACUGUUAAUGAUAUCAUUAGGAAAAUCCUCAAUUAAA
rnacentral:tRNA from 2 species